rnacentral:rRNA from 1 species
CCCUUAGAUGUUCUGGGCUGCACGCGCGCUACACUGAUGUGUCCAGUAAGCACCUAACCUCUUCCGAAAGGAACGGGUAACCUUUGCAAAGCACAUCGUGAUGGGGAUAGAUUAUUGCAAUUAUUAGUCUUGAACGAGGAAUUCCUAGUAAGCACAAGUCAUCAGCUUGUGUUGAUUACGUCCCUGCCCUUUGUACACACCGCCCGUCGCUCCUACCGAUUGAGUGUCUCGGUGAAUACUUUGGACUGCUUUCUUAUCGGUUCGCCGAUUUGCUAAGCGGAAAAUUGAGUGAACCUCGACACUUAGAGGAAGAAGAAGUCGUGACA